rnacentral:rRNA from 1 species
GAUGAACGCUGGCGGCGUGCUUAACACAUGCCAGUCGAACGGGAUCCAAGGGGUGCUUGCACUUUUUGGUGAGAGUGGCGAACGGGUGAGUAACACGUGAGUAACCUGUCCUUUUCUUUGGGAUAAGCAUUCGAAAGGGUGUUUAAUACCUUAUGUUCUGUCUGCCUCGCAUGGGGUGGGUGGGAAAGGCUUUGGCCGGAUUUGGGUGGGCUCGCGGUCUAUCAGCUUGUUGGUGGGGUGAUGGCUUACCAAGGCUUUGACGGGUAGCCGGCCUGAGAGGGUGGUCGGUCACAUUGGGACUGAGAUACGGCCCAGACUCCUGCGGGAGGCAGCAGUGGGGGAUAUUGCACAAUGGGCGAAAGCCUGAUGCAGCGACGCCGCGUGGGGGAUGAAGGCCUUCGGGUUGUAAACUUCUUUUGCUCUGAACAAGGCAUGCCAGUGGGUGUGUUGAGUGUAGGGGUUGAUUAGCGCCGGCUAACUACGUG